rnacentral:rRNA from 1 species
UACGGAGGAUGCAAGCGUUAUCCGGAAUGAUUGGGCGUAAAGCGUCCGCAGGUGGCUAUGUAAGUCUGCUGUUAAAGAGUGAGGCUCAACCUCGUAAGAGCAGUGGAAACUACAUAGCUAGAGUGCGUUCGGGGCAGAGGGAAUUCCUGGUGUAGCGGUGAAAUGCGUAGAUAUCAGGAAGAACACCGGUGGCGAAAGCGCUCUGCUAGGCCGCAACUGACACUGAGGGACGAAAGCUAGGGGAGCGAAUGGG